ensembl:snoRNA
AGCCAGUGAUGACAAACUUAACUUUUCUGACACCUCGUAUGAGAGCUGCUCUGUGGCUCCUGAUUCUAACGCUGAUCUGAGGCUC